GACGAACGCUGGCGGCGUGCCUAAUACAUGCAAGUCGAGCGCUGAAGGGUGGUACUUGUACCCACUGGGUGAGCAGCGAACGGGUGAGUAACGCGUGGGGAAUCUGCCGUUGAGCGGGGCACAUAAUUGGGAAACGAAUGCUGAUACCGCAUAAAAACUUUAAACACAAGAUUGAAGUGUGAAAGAUGCAAUUGCAUAACUCAAAGAUGAGACCGCGUUGCAGUAGCUAGUUGGCGAGCUAAAGGCUCACGACGGAGAUGAUACAUAGCCGACCUCAGAGGGUGCUCGGCCACAUUGGUAUGGGGACACGGCCCAAACUCCUACGGGAGGCAGCCGUAGCGAAUCUUCGGCAAUGGCCGCAAGUCGGACCGUUCAACGCUGCGUGAGUGACUAAUGUUGCCGGGUCGUGUAACUCUGUUGGUAGUGAAGAACGUUGGUGAGAGUGGGAAGCUCAUCAAGUGACGGUAACUACCCAGAAAGGGACGGCUAACUACGUG
rnacentral:rRNA from 1 species